CCUACGGGGGGCAGCAGUGGGGGAUAUUGCACAAUGGGGGGAACCCUGAUGCAGCGACGCCGCGUGGGUGAAGGAGUGCUUCGGCAUGUAAAGCCCUAUCGGCAGGGAAGAAGCAAGACGGUACCUGACUAAGAAGCCCCGGCUAACUACGUGCCAGCAGCCGCGGUAAUACGUAGGGGGCGAGCGUUAUCCGGAUUCACUGGGUGUAAAGGGAGCGUAGACGGCCAUGCAAGCCAGGGGUGAAAGCCCGGGGCCCAACCCCGGGACUGCCUUUGGAACUGUGCGGCUAGAGUGCGGGAGGGGCAGGCGGAAUUCCUGGUGUAGCGGUGAAAUGCGUAGAUAUCAGGAGGAACACCGGCGGCGAAGGCGGCCUGCUGGACGGCGACUGACGUUGAGGCUCGAAAGCGUGGGGAGCGAACAGGAUUAGAUACCCCUGUAGUC
rnacentral:rRNA from 1 species